rnacentral:rRNA from 1 species
UACAGAGGCCUCGAGCGUUAGGCGGAAUCACUGGGCUUAAAGCGUGUGUAGGCGGAUCGGUAAGUACCUUGUGAAAUCCCACAGCUUAACUGUGGAACUGCUUGGUAUACUGCCAGUCUUGAGCCAGCUAGGGGCUACCGGAACAAAUGGUGGAGCGGUGAAAUGCGUAGAUAUCAUUUGGAACGCCAAUGGUGAAAACAGGUAGCUGGGGCUGUGCUGACGCUGAGACACGAAAGCCAGGGGAGCAAACGGG